UAAGGUUCGAUUCGAGCGCAGCGAGAAAGCGUUGCCGCAGGCAACGACCCGAAGGGCGAAGCGCGCAGCGCUGAGUCAUCCUUCCCCCACCACCA
rnacentral:sRNA from 8 species